rnacentral:lncRNA from 1 species
UGAGAUCAAUAGUAUCCUCUAUAUACUAAAAUAUUAUAGUUAUUUAUUUAUAACAUUUAUUCUACUCAAUUCAAAUACACGCAAUUUUUCAAGGACAAAGUUCUAAUGGGUUUUUUAUUGAAGAAUAUUUCGGAGACACAGUGGUAUAAAUACACAGUUUAAAUGAAAGAUGGCAUCACAAGUGCAAAAAUGCAUUGAAAAAUAAUCACACACUAUGAG